rfam:Triticum aestivum genome assembly, contig: Triticum_aestivum_CS42_TGACv1_scaffold_424608_5BS
AUUCUACUCCCUCCAUUCCACAAUACAUGCCUUCUAUUUGUCAAAAUAUAGAUGUUUUAGUAUAUAGGUACAUCCAUUUUUGGACAAAUGGAAGUCAAGUAUUUUGGAACGGAGGGAGUACACA